UACAGAGGUCUCAAGCGUUGUUCGGAUUCAUUGGGCGUAAAGGGUGCGUAGGCGGCUUGUCGCGUCGGCUGUGAAAACCUGGGGCUCAACCCCGGGCCUGCAGCCGAUACGGGCAAGCUAGAAUUCGGUAGGGGAGACUGGAAUUCCUGGUGUAGCGGUGAAAUGCGAAGAUAUCAGGAGGAACACCGGUGGCGAAGGCGGGUCUCUGGGCCGAUAUUGACGCUGAGGAGCGAAAGCGUGGGGAGCGAACAGG
rnacentral:rRNA from 1 species